rnacentral:rRNA from 1 species
AUUCUGACUGUGCGAAGGUAGCAUAAUAAAUUGUCUUUUAAAUGAAGGCUUGAAUGAAAGGUUGGACAAAGUGUCAUCUGUUUCUUAAAUAUUUAUUGAAUUUGACUUUCAAGUGAAAAGGCUUGAAUAAAUUAAAAAGACGAUAAGACCCUAUAAAUCUUUACAAUAAAUAUAUUUUAUAUUUUAGUUUAUUAAGUGUAUAAGAUAUUGAAUAUAUAGUUGUUUCGCUGGGGCGGCGUGGAUAUAUUAAUAAACUGUCUAUAUAUUAAAACCAAUAAUUAUUGAUUAAUAAGAAUGAUCCUUAAACAGAUUAGAAGAUUAAGAUACUUUAGGGAUAACAGCGUUAUUUUUUUUGAGAGUUCUUAUCGAAGAAAAAGUUUGCGACCUCGAUGUUGAAUUAAAGUUCUUUAUUGAGCAAUCAGUAAGCAGAU